GGAUUAGAAUACUGAACUAAACUCACCCACUCCAACAUGCAGUUACCCGUGAAGGUCCGGAUUAGAAUACUAAACUAAACUCACCCACUCCAACAUGCAGUUACCCGUGAAGGUCCGGAUUAGAAUACUGAACUAAACUCACCCACUCCAACACGCAGUUACCCGUGAAGGUCCGGAUUAGAAUACUAAACUAAACUCACCCACUCCAACAUGCAGUUACCCGUGAAGGUCCGGAUUAGAAUACUGAACUAAACUCACCCACUCCAACAGCAGUUACCCGUGAAGGUCCGGAUUAGAAUACUGAACUAAACUCACCCACUCCAACAUGCAGUUACCCGUGAAUGUCCGGAUAGAAUACUAACUAAAACUCACCCACUCCAACA